UUCAGUGAAACCCAAAGACUCCAAUGCAAUGGUUCUCAAAUGUGUCCUUAUUGCCACUCUGAUGCUGACUUUAGUUACUCUAAAUUGCGACUGCAUUAAGUGGGAUGCGCCCGUUACAAGUAAUAACUAAAGAAUUUGCCGAAUUAUCAUUGCAAGUGGGAAUUACUUUUUUUCAAUUGUAGUUUGCCAUGUGAUAGGACACUGUCUUAGCGAAGAAGUCUAUUGCUAUGGACGCAAGGUGGAAGAUAAAACAUGCGGAAAAUCAUCACGUUGCUGCCUACGUAAAUUUGUACCAAAAGCAAAGCCAAUUUAUUCGUUUUAGUAAUCAUUAAAAAUGUAUGAAUAAAAUAAACGCUCUAUAAAAUUAAUUAGUCAUUAUUACACAAUGUGCAGAAUAUAAGAUUUGGAAGGUUUGACACUACUUAAGAAAUUCAAGCGAGAAUAAUUCGAUUGAGUGAAGCUUCAUUAUAGCAUUCGGCCACCCUCAAUUUGUUUGUAUAGCCUGUGGAAUUGAUUGGAAUCGCGACUUAGUACAAUAUUUGUAGUACAUUUAAAAGUAAGGUUCUAAUUGUAUAUGAGAAGAGAAAGCGCAGUGGAUGACUAUAAAAUGUUGGUGAAAUAUUUGGUGUAUUUAGUACUGACCUUUGCCUUUGUAUAUGGUGAUGAUGAAAAGAAUAAACGUAUUUAUGAGCAAAAAGUGGCCUCUGCAACGUUAUCGGGUAAGUUGCAAAUGGCUCAUCUUUACAGAUGAAUUAUAAAUGAUUAAAUCGAACAGGUCCUUGCCAAGCAUCACGCAAGGGAAGGUGUAAAAAUAUUCACGGAAAAUGCAGUGGUCAUAAGUAUCAAGUUCCAGAAUGCCAAAUGCCUUCAGUUUGCUGUGUCAAGGCGAGAGUUCAAUUUAAGAGAAUUGAGGGCCUAGAUCCGGCCUAUUUCGAAUGAUUUUUAUGCUCAACUCUGUUGUCUACAAUAAAAUGCAUACAAUGCAGUUCCAAAUGUUUUCCCUUCUUCUUGGCACUCUGCAUGGCAUUGCGAGGG
rnacentral:lncRNA from 1 species